UACGUAGGGGGCAAGCGUUGUCCGGAAUUAUUGGGCGUAAAGUGCGUGUAGGCGGCCGUACAGGUCAGCUGUGAAAACUCGAGGCUCAACCUCGAGACGUCGGUUGAAACCGUACGGCUAGAGUCCGGAAGAGGAGAGUGGAAUUCCCGGUGUAGCGGUGAAAUGCGCAGAUAUCGGGAAGAACACCCGUGGCGAAGGCGGCUCUCUGGGACGGUACUGACGCUGAGACGCGAAAGCGUGGGGAGCGAACAGG
rnacentral:rRNA from 1 species